rnacentral:rRNA from 1 species
GGCUCAGGAUGAACGCUAGCGACAGGCCUAACACAUGCAAGUCAGGGGCAGCACAAGGAGCAAUCUGAGGUGGCGACCGGCGCACGGGUGAGUAACACGUAUGCAACCUGCCUGUAAGCGGGGAAUAACCCGUUGAAAGACGGACUAAUACCGCAUAAUACUAAAUUACUGCAUGGUAAUUUAUUUAAACAUUUAUGGCUUACAGAUGGGCAUGCGCAUGAUUAGCUAGUUGGAGAGGUAACGGCUCCCCAAGGCAACGAUCAUUAGGGGUUCUGAGAGGAAGGUCCCCCACACUGGUACUGAGACACGGACCAGACUCCUACGGGAGGCAGCAGUGAGGAAUAUUGGUCAAUGGACGAGAGUCUGAACCAGCCAAGUCGCGUGCAGGAAGAAUGUCCUAUGGAUUGUAAACUGCUUUUGCAGGGGAAUAAAGUGCAUCACGUGUGAUGUUUUGUAUGUACUCUGCGAAUAAGGAUCGGCUAACUCCGUGCCAGCCGCGGC